AGGGAAAAUAUAAAAAGUGAAACAUGGAUGCCGUUACGUCGUGUGAGGUGUCUGCUACGAAAAAUGAUUUCGCUGUAAUAGCUGCAUGAAAGAAAAAUGAUGAAUAUUCAUAGUUAAGUAGUCCAUAAGUGUUUAUGUUGACUAGUGGAGCAACACUCUGAGCGAGGUGUUCAGCUUAUUAAUGAUGAAAACCAAGAGGGACAUGGAAAAAUAUAGAAAUGAGAAGGAGUCCAGUUCUUCGAGUGCAUAACUAACGCGGGGAACUGCUUGGUGCAGUAUGCUGUACCAGAAAAACAUCUUACAGCGUGAGUAAUAUACUUAGAUUUAGCAGAGCAUCAUAUGUAUUAAGAUGCAUCACAUGUGCAUAAGAAGACAAGUGGCAGUCCGGAAGUUAGCCAGCUGUGAACCGGUUGUUGGACAACUACAUGUGUGGGUGAGCACGCUGCCUCCCACUAUUUUAUUCUAAAAUAUGUUAGCAGAUUCAAUCAACGUGGAUGAUAUAAAAGUAUUUUUAAAGAAAUAUCUUAAUUGAUAGUGCAGUACUGUUUAUCAUUAGUGUAAAAAUGCAGAACUAACCAUUAACCAACAAUAACAAAAGGGGAAACUUUUCUUCUCCCUCUCAACCCCAGUGGUGGAUUAGAGGGUGCAAACACCUGUUUCCAAGGUCCUCUGCUGCUAUGUCCCUAAAUAUUAUUUUUCCUUUAUACACAGAAACCAUACCAAACCUAGGGAUACGGGCUUGUUACAAUGGAAGCUACCCUUUCUCCCCAAUAGAUAUUCUUUGAUUAAGGUUCCAACUGCAUGAUCAACUAAUAAAUGAAUGGUGGCAAUGUGGCCAGCUUUGUAAGCUUUUACAUUCCAGGCUCAUUGGUAUGAAGUUUAAAACAUCAAUAAAGAAGCUACAUCGAAAAUAAUUUAAGGCAAAGCUUCAGUUCUACAUACUUCAGAUUUAAAAUAUAUUUUUAAUGCACGAUCACAUGAGUCUACAAAUUCACACAAUUCAAGGCUUAUCUUAAAGCAUGAUAAUUGCAGAUAAAAUUCAGUCAAAUAUUAACACAUGUACUAUCAUAGCUAUAUUUAUUUAUAUUUUAAGCUUGUUUCAGCAUGUUAGAGAUUUAAUCAUUUUGUAUUUUUACACCUCUUUAUAAAUCCCCAAAGGUUAGCGUUUCAAUAAAUGACUCUUUGCGAUAAUUAAUUUAUUAGAAUUAGUUGCGUGAUAUUAGAAGUCUUAGGAAUAUGAUAAAUUUUUGUCUUAGGAUUUAGAAAUAAAAGUUUAAUGGGUCAGAAAAGCUAAAUGCUGUUUACUACUAAGGACCAUUCUAAUGAAGCUUUAAACAUAUUUUAAUCUUAUAAUAUCUUUUAAAAUUAUUUACUUUGGAAGUUUGUUUGAAAUGCACAUUAUUUACUUCAUUCUUAAAAAAUGUGUUAAAUUAUUUCAGUUGCAAAAUUUUUGUGUUUUUGUUUCUUAAUGUUAAUCAUAUCAGAUAUUUCUUUCAGGUGCAGAUGUAUCUCACUAAACAUAUGCAAAAAUAAAUAAGAUUUUUAAAUGUAAAA
rnacentral:lncRNA from 1 species